UUGACACGGUAAGGUCUCAGUUAACCCAAAUUUUAUUUCUCAAAAUUUAUUUUCCCCAUAAACUCAAACACAGAAGUGCGAGUUCGUGAGUUGAAAGUCAGCAUAGUAUAAAGUCAGAACACGCGCCCAUGGGAAUCGACCCAGCCUGAUUCCAAGGAAGCGCUGCGAUAGAAAAUUCAAAAAUUCAAUUGGAAAAGAAAUGUCAAAAUAGUCGAGGUUAUAUACUUCGAAAAUGUACCUUUCUAGGUCUAAAAUUAAAGUUUUUAACAAAGGUAAAAGAAGAAAAUUGAAUUUAUUAGAAUGGCACGGAGUAAAGAAUAAAAGGGCUAGAGAGAGUGAAGUAAAACGUCCAGAACCGAAAACAAAGGAGGAAAUAAUUCUUAUCGAUUUCUGCAUCAUAUAUUUUAAGUGGUUAUAAGAUGCAGCGCCAAACGAACACCUAUGAAUUGCUUCCUAUCUCUUACCCCUAUAACCUACUUAUGCUCUGAUGGUUCAAGGUUAAUUCCAACAAGUUUAAAAAGUGGUCUGCGGCACCUUAUAUCGGAAUAGAACAUUAAAAGACAUUUUGCCCAACACAGUGGAUGGUAGAUCGCGGAUAUCCGGAGAAUGUAAGUUCUUCAGCUGGCGAGAUAAGAAUUGUACAAUUCCCGUUUUUCUUCCUGCACAUAAUCCUGCAAUUUCUGUAUACGAAAUCAGGUUAGGCACUCUGCGAAAAAAAAAUAUAAUUAAAAUUCGGCAAAAUAUACCGUAGGAGAAUACCAAUGUUUUAAAAAUAUAUUUUUGUGGUGAAAUGCACAGAGCUCUAGAAACUAAACAUAAUUGAUAAAUGAAAGUUUGUUUUUCUAAAGGAUAUAUUAUUUUUU